GACGAACGCUGGCGGCGUGCUUAACACAUGCAAGUCGAACGAUGAAGCCGGAGCUUGCUCUGGUGAAUUAGUGGCGAACGGGUGAGUAACACGUGAGUAACCUGCCCUUGACUCUGGGAUAACUGCGGGAAACUGUAGCUAAUACCGGAUACGACCCUCGGAGGCAUCUCCUGGGGGUGGAAAGAAUUUCGGUCAAGGAUGGACUCGCGGCCUAUCAGCUAGUUGGUGAGGUAAAGGCUCACCAAGGCGACGACGGGUAGCCGGCCUGAGAGGGUGACCGGCGAAACUGGGACUGAGACACUGCCCAGACUCCUACGGGAGGCAGCAGUGGGGAAUAUUGCACAAUGGGCGCAAGCCUGAUGCAGCAACGCCGCGUGAGGGAUGACGGCCUUCGGGUUGUAAACCUCUUUUAGCAGGGAAGAAGCGAAAGUGACGGUACCUGCAGAAAAAGCACCGGCUAACUACGUGCCAGCAGCCGCCGUAA
rnacentral:rRNA from 1 species